rnacentral:rRNA from 1 species
GACGAGUCGACGAGCACGCCGCUGGAGUGAUGAGGUCUCCGAAUCGUAAGGCUCGGUAUAGGGAGACAAGUAGCGUACGUAUAGUGCAGUACUGACGUACUAUCAGAAAGCCACGCUACUACGUGCCAGCAGCCGCGGUAAUACGUAGGUGGCAAGCGUAGUCCGGAAUUAUUGGGCGUAAAGCGGCUCGUCAGGCGGUUUCUUAAGUCUGAUGUGAAAGCCCCGGGCUCAACCGGGGAGGGUCAUUGGAAACUGAGGAACUUGAGUGCAGAAGAGGAGAGUGGAAUUCCACGUGUAGCGGUGAAAUGCGUAGAGAUGUGGAGGAACACCAGUGGCGAAGGCGACUCUCUGGUCUGUAACUGACGCUGAGGAGCGAAAGCGUGGGGAGCGACCAGGAUUAGAUACCUUGGUAGUCCACGCCGUAAACGAUGAGUGUUAAGUGUUAGGGGGUUUCCGCCCCUUAGUGCUGCAGCUAACGCAUUAAGCAUUCCGCCUGGGGAGUACGGUCGCAAGACUGAAAUUCAAAGGAAUUGACGGGGGCCCGCCCAAGCGGUGGAGCAUGUGGUUUAAUUGGAAGCAACGGGAAGACCCUUACCAGGUCUUGACAUCUUCUGACAAUCCUAGAGAUAGGACGUCCCCUUCGGGGGCAGAGUGACAGGUGGUGCAUGGUUGUUGUCAGCUCGUGUCGUGAGAUGUUGGGUUAAGUCCCGCAACGAGCGCAACCCUUGAUGUUAGUUGCCAGCAUUCAGUUGGGCCCUUUAAGGUGACUGCCGGUGACAAACCGGAGGAAGGUGGGGAAGACGUCAAAUCAUCAUGCCCCUUAUGACCUGGGCUACACACGUGGUACAAUGGACAGAACAAAGGGCAGGGAAACCGCGAGGUUAAGCCAAUCCCACAAAUCUGUUUUCAGUUUGGAUCGCAGUUUGCAACUUGACUGCCUGAAGCUGGAAUCGGUAGUAAUCGCGGAUCAGCAUGCCGCGGUGAAUACGUUCCCGGGCCUUGUACACCCCCCCCGUCCCCCCCCGAGAAUUUGUAACCCCCGAAGUCGGUGUAGGUUACCCAUAGUAGCCA